AGCAAUAUAAAUAAUCGAGAGAAGAACUAUUCAUAUUUGAAGUACAUCGAAGGACAAAAAAUGAGUAUGGCUGCUAAUUCUAUCUUGAUAGAUGAUGAGAUAAAGAAAUAUCUCACAUAAUUAAAGAAGAAAAUUAUCCAACUCAUCCAGACCGUAUCUCGAUUGGCGGUACCUUCAACACAAAUACUAGCAACUCUUGUAAUGAAGUUAUCUCUUAUGUCUAGAGAUCAAGAUCUAUCAUCUAGAAAGCAAGAUCAAGGAUGAAAACCAUCUUCAAGCAAAGCC
rnacentral:lncRNA from 1 species